rnacentral:lncRNA from 1 species
GCCUUUGUCUCUAGCUGCAGCCGGCGUUUCAGGUCUCGUCUUCACUGGUCUGUGUCCUAUUCUCCUGGAGGCCCAGCCUCUGUGGCCCUGUGACCUGCAGGUAUUGGGAGAUCCACAGCUAAAACCCCAGGACACCCUGGAAGCAUAGAAAUGUCUCCCUCUGAUGCCGAGCCGAAGCUGGACUGUACUGCUGCCAUCUCGGCUCACUGCAACCUCCCUGCCUGAUUCUCCUGCCUCAGCCUGCCGAGUGCCUGCGAUUGCAGGUGCGCGCCGCCACGCCUGACUGGUUUUCGUACUUUUUUGGUGGAGACGGGGUUUCGCUGUGUUGGCCGGGCUGGUCUCCAGCUCCUAACCGCGAGUGAUCCGCCAGCCUCGGCCUCCUGAGGUGCCGGGAUUGCAGACGGAGUCUCGUUCACUCAGUGCUCAAUGUUGCCCAGGCUGGAGUGCAGUGGCGUGAUCUCAGCUGGCUACAACCUCCACCUCCCAGCCGCCUGCCUUGGCCUCCCAAAGUACCGAGAUUGCAGCCUCUGCCCGGCCGCCACCCCGUCUGGGAAGUGAGGAGCGUCUCUGCCUGGCCGCCCAUCGUCUGGGAUGUGAGGGGCCCCUCUGCCUGGCUGCCCAGUCUGAAAGUGAGGAGGGUCUCUGCCCGGCCGCCAUCCCAUCUAGGAAGUGACGAGCACCUCUUCCCAGCCACCAUCCCAUCUAGGAAGCAAGGAGCGUCUCUGCCCGGCCGCCCAUCGUAUGAGAUGUGGGGAGCGCCUCUGCCCCGCUGCCCCGUCUGGGAUAUGAGGAGCGCCUCUGCCCAGCCGCGACCCCGUCUGGGAGGUGAGGAGCGUCUCUGCCUGGCCGCCCCAUCUGAGAGGUGAGGAGACCCUCUGCCUGGCAGCCGCCCCAUCUGGGAAGUGAGUAGCAUCUCCGCCCGGCAGCCACCCCGUCCGGGAGGGAGGUGGGGGUCAGCCCCCGCCAGGCCAGCCGCCCCGUCCGGGAGGGAGGUGGGGUCAGUCCCCUGCCCGGCCAGCCGCCCCAUCCGGGAGGUGAGGGGCGCCUCUGCCCAGCCGCCCCUACUGGGAAGUGAGGAGCCCCUCUGCCCGGCCACCACCCCAUCUGGGAGGUGUACCCAACAGCUCAUUGAGAACGGGCCAUGAUGACAAUGGCUGUUUUGUGGAAUAGAAAGGGGGGAAAGGUGCGGAAAAGACUGAGAAAUCGGAUGGUUGCCGUGUCUGUGUAGAAAGAAGUAGACAUGGGAGACUUUUCAUUUUGGUCUGUACUAAGAAAAAUUCUUCUGCCUUGGGAUCCUGUUGAUCUCUGACCUUACCCCCAACCCUGUGCUCUCUGAAACAUGUGCUGUGUCCACUCAGUGUUAAAUGGAUUAAGGGCGGUGCAAGAUGUGCUUUGUUAAACAGAUGCUUGAAGGCAGCAUGCUCAUUAAGAGUCAUCACCACUCCCUAAUCUCAAGUACCCAGGGACACAAACACUGCGGAAGGCCGCAGGGUCCUCUGCCUAGGAAAACCAGAGACCUUUGUUCACUUGUUUAUCUGCUGACCUUCCCUCCACUGUUGUCCUAUGACCCUGCCAAAUCCCCCUCUGCGAGAAACACCCAAGAAUGAUCAAUAAAAAAAAAAAAAAAAAAAUUAAUAGGGCUUCUGAAACAGACACCCAAAGCACUGGAGAGAAAAAAGUUAAAAUGAUAUUAGGAAAAAGCUCAGAUUAGAUAUAAAAUUGAUCAUGUCUGCCAGAAAAUAUUCUCCUAAAAGCAAUUUCUCUCUAAACACCCAAAGCGCACAGCUACUCUCAGCAAGAGAAACAUGAGCAUUAUGAAGAAAGGUGGCAGAUUUUCAGAAGAAUUUUUAUAAAGUUUCUUUCCCAUCUCUGCUGUUCUGUCAUCUCCUAGCCAUUGAAUGGAGGUUCUAUAUUGAAAUACAUCUGACAACUUCCAACAACACUUUUUGAUGAAGAAAUAGAAUCUGACUAUGUUCAUAUAGUGGAAUAUAUUAGAACUUGCAACAUAGCAAACUGAAGAGCUAUUAUGGUUUUUGGGUGGCCACAUCACAUGUCUUUAUUUGUCCUGUAAUAGCAGCAUACCAAUUUAAUGAAAUAAAAGACACUAAAAUUGUGUUUA